UGUGUUAAUUACACAGACUUAUAGAUGUUUAUUACACAGCCCCUAUAUGUGUUUAUUACACAGACUUAUAGAUGUUUAUUACACAGCCCCUAUAUGUGUUUAUUACACAGACUUAUAGAUGUUUAUUACACAGCCCCUAUAUGUGUUUAUUACACAGACUUAUAGAUGUUUAUUACACAGCCCCUAUAUGUUAAUUACACAGACUUAUAGAUGUUUAUUACACAGCCCCUAUGUGUUAAUUACACAGACUUAUAUAUGUUUAUUACACAGCCCCUAUGUGUUUAUUACACAGCUUAUAGAUGUUUAUUACACAGCCCCUAUAUGUGUUUAUUACAUAGACGUAUAUAUGUUUAUUACAGCCUUAUGGAUGUUUAAUACACAGCCCCCAGAGGUGUUUAUUACACAGCUUAUAGAUGUUUAUUACACAGCCCCUAUAAGCAGGGCUGUAGUGGAGGGUAAACGUACGUAAACGCCGUUUACGCACAUCUAGAAUUUUGGAAAUAGCAUUUACGCACCUAUAAAUAGCGUUUACGCACCUCUAAAUAGCGUUUACGCACCUCAAAGUUCCCUGCGCCUUGUAUUCUUCCGUUGGAAUAAUCCGAAAUAAACUUGGUGUAAUUUUAAAACAGCUAAGAUUACUUUUCCUAUUGUUGAACAUAUAGCAGAAACACCAGAUCCAAUAGAGAGAGGAGAAGCACAGAGGAACACGUGUUCUGGGGUUCAUGGCUCCUCUGUGCAAGGCAGGACCUGACGUGGAGGACAAGGAGGCCCUCUGGGCACUACUGUGAAAAGGAGACUCCAUAUGUAGAUAGUUC
ensembl:lncRNA